rnacentral:rRNA from 1 species
AGUGAACGCUGGCGGUAGGCCUAACACAUGCAAGUCGAACGGCAGCACAGUAAGAGCUUGCUCUUACGGGUGGCGAGUGGCGGACGGGUGAGGAAUACAUCGGAAUCUACUUUUUCGUGGGGGAUAACGUAGGGAAACUUACGCUAAUACCGCAUACGACCUACGGGUGAAAGCAGGGGAUCUUCGGACCUUGCGCGAUUGAAUGAGCCGAUGUCGGAUUAGCUAGUUGGCGGGGUAAAGGCCCACCAAGGCGACGAUCCGUAGCUGGUCUGAGAGGACGAUCAGCCACACUGGCACUGAGACACGGUCCAGACUCCUACGGGAGGCAGCAGUGGGGAAUAUUGGACAAUGGGCGCAAGCCUGAUCCAGCCAUACCGCGUGGGUGAAGAAGGCCUUCGGGUUGUAAAGCCCUUUUGUUGGGAAAGAAAAGCAGCAGGUUAAUACCCCGCUGUUCUGACGGUACCCAAAGAAUAAGCACCGGCUAACUUCGUG